UAAGCUUGAAAUAAUGUUUCAACUUAGAAUUUUUCAUGUUUUUACAGUUGAUUUUUCUGUGUAUAUGCACUGAUUUUUUAUUAUUUUUCCAUGGCAGAAUGGACUUGAUACUAAGGUAGAGAAGUCAAGGAAGCAGAUGAAGGAAAGGAAGAACAGGGCCAAGAAGAUCCGUGGAGUAAAGAAGACAAAGGUUUCAGAUGUGCCAAGGGAAAGAAGAAAUGAGUUUUUCGUGAUUCUUAUAGACCUGAUUUGCAGCAAUGGACUUUAUUUAAUAGCUCUAUUUUCUUCUUAGGUUUUCUCAAAAUGAAAUCUGUUGUUGUUAGCAUCGGUUUUGGUGUUUUCUGAUGUUUUGUUAUACUAUCAGAUUUUGAGUAUUAUGCAGAGGAUGAUUUUGAAAUUUUUGGCAACACAUUUCCAGAAAUGUUCCAUCAA